ensembl:lncRNA
UCCAUGUGCUGUUAUUCCCCACAGACAGAGCCCUGUCUCCCUGACCUGCUUGCAGCUCUGCCAGCAUUCAGACGGGUUUGCCCGCCGUAUAUUCCCACAGAGCUGCAUUUCUGUUUGAUGCUUUGGCCCAGGGCACUGUGGGAGCCCACGGGGCUGCCUGAUAAGCUCUGAGCUACAGGUGCUGCCUUAUCAGACCGAAGCUCCUGCCUCCUGUUGCUGAUUGCUCCUAGAGAUGAAAACGCCUCUUUUGUUAGCAGCACGGGGAACAAGGCUCGUUACUGCUUACAGUUUUCCAAAGCGCGUGUGAAGGAGCUUCUGUUGAACAACAUAAAGCUGGUGGGAGGAGGAGAAAGCCGCUGCUGCUAGCUGGGUCCUCGCGCUCAUUUGGGAAGUUGAACCUUUUGGUAAUGAAAACUUCUUUCUGAUGAAACAGCCAUUAUUUUUGGCAGUAACACAGCAAUGGCUCUGAUCUGAGGAGCUCCAGCCAGCUCAUCUGCCGUAGGUGGAACUGAUGCCGAGGCUUAGCUCCGUGCUUGGAUUUGUCAGUGCUUGCUCACGUUUGCUCCAGUCCCCGUGCAAACCCCCUGCGAGGUGCUCAGCUUGGUGUGCUCCAGGAAACCACCGCCUCUACUGCCAUGGACAGAGAUGAACGGGGCAAUGCCCAUCUCAGCUGUCACUUUACCAGUCAGGUGGCUUUGCACUGUGCCAGGCAGGAUCAGAUGAGCUGUGCCAGCAGUGACAGCAGCAGGUUGGAAAUGGGGCUCUCGGUACUCGCAGGUCUCCGGGAGCAGAGCUGGUGCUGCCCGCGCUGCGCAGCGGUGUCGGCUUCCCAAGGAGGAGCCGCUCUUAAUGCCCGCAGCCACGGGUGGCUGCUGACGGGAGAGGGGCUGCCACAAAGGUCACUUCUUGAGGGAAGAGAACCCUAAAAGCACUCCGAGCACGAGCUCCUCUCUCCCAGGAGGUUAAGCCUGGAUCUGAUCCCUCUCGGAUGAGGUUGGGGUGAUUUGCCUGGGGGAGGUUUUCACCCAGCAGCCCUUCCAGUACCGCAGGUGUGCACAGUGUGACUGCGGGGGGCUUUGGGCAGUGGGAAUUCAGCCCCACCUCUUUG